CCCUGACGAGGAGGUGGUGUGUGAUACUGUUCCAGGAACAUUCCCGUUCCCGCCGUUCGAUCGUGAGAACAAGAAACCCGUGUCAAGAACAGCAGGCCGCCCGAACUCGACCACUACUGAGGUGCGUAUAUGAUCAGUCACCAGACCCUCGUAACUGCAGCCUCUUCAUGCAAUGAUCACCCUGUGGAAAUUGCAGGCUUAAAGUGACAUGGCCAACUCCCCAUUCUACGGCGAAUGUGCAAAACUCGAAACUGGCAUAAUUAUUUCGAGACGGCCGUCACUUAUCAUUGCCAUUGUAAAAAGCCUUGCUCACUGAAGACUUCUUUCUUGAGAGUGACCACGGAUGUGCUUCUGCAUGCUACAUGGAUUUUGCGCAUGAAUGAAUUUUUGGAGAGAGAGUCUGUGAUAAUAACGUAUUAAGCGUCGUUGAAGUGGGACAGGUCUGUCGUUACGGUUUGCCAUGGUUAUUGAGAGCUCAGAGGCAGGAGUGGUUGGUGAGGCUGUGUGUGCAGGUGUGGCUGGCAUACACACUGUAUCGUCCGAUCAAUUAUUCUAUGUCGUUGAUGAUUCCUGGCCAGCUCGAAAAAAUGAGCUGGCAUUUGUGAACAGCCUAGAUGCCCACUGCAGCGUGUAUUUUGUCGAGUACCUCUUGGCGCAUAGUCGCCACAUGAAUGAUGAUCCCGCCUCCUUUGAUGACCAGUCCGUCGUCAGUCACCUGAUAGUUCACCCUUGCAUGACCAGUAAUGACAAAUGCAUUUAGGGAGGUCUUCAGGAUCCUCCGCACUAACCAUGAUUGUCUCUGACAAUGAUCGCACGACGGCGUCACUGGCCCUUAAAUUUGUUGUUUCAGUUGGGACAGUCUUGCCCAGGAAAACCUGCAUGGCAUAGACUGUUGUGUCAAAAUGAUAAUCGCAAGUUCAGAUGCAGGGUUUAGUCUGGACAUCGCUUUGAGCACCAUGUCGCGACGUGGUUUGUAGACGACUGUGAAAUCGAUUGGUUGCAAUCGUACCAUCAAAUUUUGAAGGAGUGUUCGUUUGUGUUUGAAAUGUUCCAAGGUCUUUUCAUCGGAUUCAGCAACUAAUUUGGAUCUGUACAAAACGCGUUCGACCGAAAACCGUAGCCAGCAACUCGCAUUUGCAUGUACCGCCAUUCAGUUUCUGUUAAAGCGACGGCUUUGUUGUUCCUCCAGAGAUCUGCCCGUUGGAAGACACAUCAACUUGUACAACUAGUGUUGGGAGUUGAAGUAGCCUUAAGUUCCUCCUUGAUCUUAAUGGGGUAAUCUUGUGGAGGCUACGAGACCUGAUCACGCGUUGUUUUAGUUGCGUCACAAGGCACCGGGCUAAUCACGUCAGACGUUUCCGGUGCCCAACAGCCCUGCCAACGGAGUUUUCAGACCGAAAUGGCAUACUUCCAUCCCAACGGACUCGCCUCUAGCCGCUCAGGAACUUUCCGGUCCGUUCCGUCCGACCGUCACGCCUCGAGGAGGAGGGAGCCCUCGCCUUCGUCGGAGGGCGUGACGUCACAAUAUGGAAAGCAGGCUUAACUGGAGGGAGCCUGGCUCCGUAGCUAAGAAAACAGCGCCCUCUCUUGGUCCAGCUUGAGGCCCAUUGUGUCCACAGUGCUUCAUUAGGCUAAUCAAGCCACAGUUAAUAUGUAAUGUAAUGUUGUGGAGCUCUAUAGUGCAAACGGGGCCGUCUUAAUUGAAAAAAAAUCACCUUCGGGGAAACGGGUCUUGUUACCAAAAUAAAUAAAUAAAUAAAUGAUAAUAAUAAUUAUAUCAUUUCAUGUUAAAUCUUCGCGCAUUUUGUUGGACCUUAGUUAUCAUUAAACUGGGUUUUUUGGUCUUUCUGAUCUUUGUUUUUUUCGGGGUGUUUGGGCACUUAUGAUGGGAUCUGCACGAGUGCUGCUUGAAACACCAAUGUUCGUCCAGACUGUCUUAGGGAGCUGCAUCGCAUCACGAAACUAGGUCAGGACAUACAAGCUCACCUUGACGCAUAGUCAUGGUUGAAGCACAACAUGGUUGGAAAGCCGGCAAGACUAAAUUGGAAUCUGAAAGCGCGCAACCUCCGACAGUGGCCAGGUCAACUCUUAACUUGCACGGCAGCAAAGACGUUGACCAGUCCCUUUGUUGUUGAAACUUACAAAGAUAAUAUGUCAUUUUAUGCCUAAAUGUCUCGACAGACCAUUCUAAAUUGACUGUUCACUUACACAAAACGUGCCAUGAAAAACCACAGUGCUUCGAUAUUAACGCCUGGUUUCUGCUAAUUUCUUUGUUGAGGUUGUGUAAGUAUGGUCUCAGUAGAUUCAGGGGCACCCAUCUGGGGGCAAAGUAGACAAAAAUGUCACUGGAGAUUUGUGAGAAGAACCCCAGAAAGGUGCGGGAUGUCAUUUGAAAAAUGGCAGCUGAGAAGACUUGGAAACAUUCAC